GUAAAAUUGACGAAUUUUGUAGAUGCUGAUUAUGCAAGAGAUAUGGAUAGUAGGAAAUCGACUUCGUCUUAUGUGUUUACCUUAUCCAAUUCAUGUGUUAGUUGAAAAUCACAGUUACAACACAUUAUUACACUAUCCAGUACAGAAUCAAAAUAUAUUGUCACCACUGAAGCUAUUUAAGAAGAUCUAUGGCUUAAAGGUCUACUCCAUGAACUACGUGUCUUUAAUGAUUAUGUGGUAGUGUAUUCUAAUAGUCAGUCAUCUAUACAUUUAUGCAAGAACCCCGUUUUUCACGAGCACACUAAACACAUUGAUGUUAAACUUCACUUCAUUAGAGAUAUAGUAUCCAAGAGACAAAAUUAUGUGUUCGCGAAGGCAACUUUCCUUAUUUGAUUCAACUCUUUUGGAAGACAAUUGGACGUGAAUUUUGGCCUAAUUUCAUCAUAUAAAUACAAUAUAUGGGCAGCAAUAAAAGGGUCUCUCUCUUGCCUCUUCAUACACAAUAGUUUCAUCAAAUUCAUCCAGAACAAGGAGUCAAUUGCUAUAUGUUAACAGAGAAGAUCAAGUCAUAGCAAGGAAUUGAAGUUCAAUUACAUCAAGUUUUGAAGAAUUCAGCUAUAGACGUGAAGAUCAACAUCUUUUGUAUUCUUUCAUGAUCCGGGUAAUAUUUUUCUAUUAUUCUUAUUGUAAUUUAUAUAUUAAUAUGCUAUGCUAGUUUUCAUUGUAUUGGAUGAAUGAUGAACCCUAC
rnacentral:lncRNA from 1 species